AGACGGAGGGGGCUAGCGUUGUUCGGAAUUACUGGGCGUAAAGGGCGGGCAGGCGGUCCGUUAAGUCAUUUGUGAAAAUCCGGGGCUCAACCCCGCGAAAUGCAAAUGAUACUGGCAGACUGGAGACCGGUAGAGGCUAGCGGAAUUCCUGGUGUAGCGGUGGAAUGCGUAGAUAUCAGGAAGAACACCUGUGGCGAAGGCGGCUAGCUGGGCCGGGUCUGACGCUGAACCGCGAAAGCGUGGGGAGCAAACAGGAUUAGAAACCCUGGUAGUCC
rnacentral:rRNA from 1 species